AUUGAACGCUGGCGGCAUGCUUUACACAUGCAAGUCGAACGGUAACAGGGAAAAGCUUGCUUUUCUGCUGACGAGUGGCGAACGGGUGAGUAAUACAUCGGAACGUGCCCUGUAGUGGGGGAUAACUACUCGAAAGAGUGGCUAAUACCGCAUACAACCUGAGGGUAAAAGUGGGGGACCGCAAGGCCUCACGCUAUAGGAGCGGCCGAUGGAAGAUUAGGUAGUUGGUAGGGUAAAGGCCUACCAAGCCGACGAUCUUUAGCGGGUCUGAGAGGAUGAUCCGCCACACUGGGACUGAGACACGGCCCAGACUCCUACGGGAGGCAGCAGUGGGGAAUUUUGGACAAUGGGGGCAACCCUGAUCCAGCAAUGUCGCGUGAGUGAAGAAGGCCUUCGGGUUGUAAAGCUCUUUUGUUUGGGAAGAAAUCCCUAAGGAUAAUACCCUUGGGGGAUGACGGUACCAAAAGAAUAAGCACCGGCUAACUACGUGCCAGCAGCCGCGGUAAUACGUAGGGUGCAAGCGUUAAUCGGAAUUACUGGGCGUAAAGCGUGCGCAGGCG
rnacentral:rRNA from 1 species